GAUGAACGCUAGCGGGAGGCUUAACACAUGCAAGUCGAGGGGUAACAGGAGGUAGCAAUACUUUGCUGACGACCGGCGCACGGGUGAGUAACGCGUAUGUAACCUACCUUGUACAGGGGAAUAGCCCGGAGAAAUUCGGAUUAAUGCCCCAUAAUGAUAUUUAGUGGCAUCACUUGAUAUUUAAAGUUCCGACGGUACAGGAUGGGCAUGCGUAACAUUAGCUAGUUGGUAGGGUAACGGCCUACCAAGGCUGCGAUGUUUAGGGGUCCUGAGAGGGUGAUCCCCCACACUGGUACUGAGACACGGACCAGACUCCUACGGGAGGCAGCAGUGAGGAAUAUUGGUCAAUGGGCGCAAGCCUGAACCAGCCAUCCCGCGUGAAGGAAGAAGGCGCUAUGCGUUGUAAACUUCUUUUUCAGGGGAAGAAAAUCUUCUACGUGUAGAGGAUUGACGGUACCCUGUGAAUAAGCAUCGGCUAACUCCGUGCCAGCAGCCGCGGUAAUACGGAGGAUGCGAGCGUUAUCCGGAUUUAUUGGGUUUAAAGGGUGCGUAGGCGGAUUAAUAAGUCAGUGGUGAAAACCUGCAGCUUAACUGUAGAACUGCCAUUGAUACUGUUAGUCUUGAGUACGGUCAAGGUAGGCGGAAUGUGUAAUGUAGCGGUGAAAUGCUUAGAUAUUACACAGAACACCGAUUGCGAAGGCAGCUUACUGGGCCAUUACUGACGCUG
rnacentral:rRNA from 1 species